rnacentral:rRNA from 1 species
CCUACGGGGGGCAGCAGUGAGGAAUAUUGGUCAAUGGACGAGAGUCUGAACCAGCCAAGUAGCGUGAAGGAUGACUGCCCUCUGGGUUGUAAACUUCUUUUAUAAAGGAAUAAAACGAGGCACGUGUGCCUUGUUGCAUGUACUUUAUGAAUAAGGAUCGGCUAACUCCGUGCCAGCAGCCGCGGUAAUACGGAGGAUCCGAGCGUUAUCCGGAUUUAUUGGGUUUAAAGGGAGCGUAGAUGGGUUGUUAAGUCAGUUGUGAAAGUUUGCGGCUCAACCGUAAAAUUGCAAUUGAUACUGGCAGUCUUGAGUACAGGUGAGGUAAGCGGAAUUCGUGGUGUAGCGGUGAAAUGCUUAGAUAUCACGAAGAACACCGAUUGCGAAGGCAGCUUACUAAACUGUGACUGACAUUGAUGCUCGAAAGUGUGGGUAUCAAACAGGAUUAGAUACCCCUGUAGUC